rnacentral:rRNA from 1 species
GGAACCUUACCAGGGCUUAAAUGUGGUCUGACAGCUUUAGAGAUAGAGCCUCCUUCGCAAGACAAAUUACAAGGUGCUGCAUGGUUGUCGUCAGCUCGUGCCGUGAGGUGUCAGGUUAAGUCUUAUAACGAGCGCAACCCCUGUUGUUAGUUGCCAGCACGUAAUGGUGGGAACUCUAGCAAGACUGCCAGUGUAAACUGUGAGGAAGGUGGGGAUGACGUCAAAUCAUCACGGCCCUUACGUCCUGGGCCACACACGUGCUACAAUGGACGGUACAGAGAGCAGCCACUUAGCAAUAAGGAGCGAAUCUAUAAAACCGUUCUCAGUUCGGAUCGGAGUCUAUCAACUCGACUCCGUGAAGCUGGAAUCGCUAGUAAUCGGAUAUCAGCCAUGACCCGGUGAAUACGUUCCCGGGCCUUGUACACACCGCCCGUCAAGCCAUGGAAGCU